GAAUCAUUCUUGUAGUCCUACGUUGAACCUUUUUCAAGACAGCAAUGUCCUUCUUAAGGAGCUUAACUCCCCUUUCUAGGGAACUUGUGGACUCGAGGGAUGGUAUCCACAGGAGACCGGGAACAUUUAAAAGCCAGGCGGGUGCCAUAGUAGGCACUCAGAGAACGGACUUCACCAUGUCGGUGCAGGUCAGGAACAGGAACUGGUCCAGGGGGUGGUAACGCAAGUCUCCCCCGAGCAGAAGGUCCACCACCAUGAACAUGUCCUCCUCAUCCUGAAAGGAGUACCUGGAAGGUAAAGAGGAGGCACCACUCACAAUGAAAAUCGGACUGCUUUAAGCUGGACGCCAGACUUGUUCUAAUACAAAGAAAGUUCUCUCUGUGUACACAGGAAACAGUGUUAUUUCCUUGUGUUAAAAUUUUGA